CUCCUUUUCUUCCCACCAGUAGCAGGGGACACAGAUGGACGUUUCUGUGACAUUAUGGGUACACAAAACACAACCACUUGGCAGAUUGGGAGAUACGGAUCGCUGCCACUGCCCAGCAUCGUGAAUCGCCACAGGGGUAUGUCCAGAUCCGCAGCUCUGCUCUGCAUGUGCCCAGGAUGCUGGAAAGCAUGUACAUCACCGUGAUGAUCAUCUGGAGAGCUGAGAUAAAGCACUGGAGGAGAACAGCUGCAGGGCAGAGUGCAUUCUACAGAGCUGGCCUUGAAUUUCAGAGGAUGGAGAGAGAAGCACAGAAGAGGCAAAGUGUCUCCAUGUCCCUGCAGAGCCCACUAAGUAGACAGACCAGUAUGCACAGUGAAGCUAACAGAGAAACUGGCCCUCAUUCAGGGAAGGGGAGGAUAUGGUUUCCAGCCAAUCAGACUGUCUGUAUUCACAUUCCUGUUAGUUUGAGCACAAAGGGCCCGUGGUUUAUUAUUAGUCAGAAUUAUAACAACUAACAAGCUGUUUGCCUGAAUUAUGUUGCAACACAAUUACACUGGAUCACUUUGUACAGUGCAACAGGUCGGCAUCUACCAACAUGUGAGAAAUAAAUGUAAUUAACAAGGGUGAGAACA
rnacentral:lncRNA from 1 species